CACGUAGGCGGACUUUUAAGUCAGGGGUGAAAUCCCGGGGCUCAACCCCGGAACUGCCUUUGAUACUGGAAGUCUUGAGUAUGGUAGAGGGGGGUAGAAUUCCAGGUGUAGCGGUGAAAUGCGUAGAGAUCUGGAGGAAUACCGAUUGCGAAGGCAGCCCCCUGGACAGUGACUGACGCUCAUAUGCGAAAGCGUGGGGAUCAAACAGGAUUAGAUACCCGUGUA
rnacentral:rRNA from 1 species